GAUGAACGCUAGCUACAGGCUUAACACAUGCAAGUCGAGGGGCAGCAUGGUCUUAGCUUGCUAAGACUGAUGGCGACCGGCGCACGGGUGAGUAACACGUAUCCAACCUGCCGUCUACUCUUGGACAGCCUUCUGAAAGGAAGAUUAAUACAAGAUGGCAUCAUGAGUCCGCAUGUUCACAUGAUUAAAGGUAUUCCGGUAGACGAUGGGGAUGCGUUCCAUUAGAUAGUAGGCGGGGUAACGGCCCACCUAGUCUUCGAUGGAUAGGGGUUCUGAGAGGAAGGUCCCCCACAUUGGAACUGAGACACGGUCCAAACUCCUACGGGAGGCAGCAGUGAGGAAUAUUGGUCAAUGGGCGAGAGCCUGAACCAGCCAAGUAGCGUGAAGGAUGACUGCCCUAUGGGUUGUAAACUUCUUUUAUAAAGGAAUAAAGUCGGGUAUGUAUACCCGUUUGCAUGUACUUUAUGAAUAAGGAUCGGCUAACUCCGUGCCAGCAGCCGCGGUAAUACGGAGGAUCCGAGCGUUAUCCGGAUUUAUUGGGUUUAAAGGGAGCGUAGAUGGAUGUUUAAGUCAGUUGUGAAAGUUUGCGGCUCAACCGUAAAAUUGCAGUUGAUACUGGAUAUCUUGAGUGCAGUUGAGGCAGGCGGAAUUCGUGGUGUAGCGGUGAAAUGCUUAGAUAUCACGAAGAACUCCGAUUGCGAAGGCAGCCUGCUAAGCUGCAACUGACAUUG
rnacentral:rRNA from 1 species